UACGGGGGGAGCAAGCGUUGUUCGGAUUUACUGGGCGUAAAGGGCGCGUAGGCGGUCGUGACAAGUCACUUGUGAAAUCUCCGGGCUUAACUCGGAACGGUCAAGUGAUACUGUCGGACUAGAGUACAGAAGGGGCAACUGGAAUUUACGGUGUAGCAGUGAAAUGCGUAGAGAUCGUAAGGAAGGCCAGUGGCGAAGGCGAGUUCCUGGACAGUUACUGACGCUGAGGCACGAAAGGCCAGGGGAGCAAACGGGG
rnacentral:rRNA from 1 species